rnacentral:rRNA from 1 species
UACGUAGGGUGCAAGCGUUAAUCGGAAUUACUGGGCGUAAAGCGUACGCAGGCGGCUUUGCAAGACAGGUAUGAAAUCCCCGGGCCUAACCUGGGAACUGCAUUUGUGACUGCAUGGCUAGAGUUUGUCAGAGGGGGGUGGAAUUCCACGUGUAGCAGUGAAAUGCGUAGAGAUGUGGAGGAACACCGAUGGCGAAGGCAGCCCCCUGGGUCAAGAUUGACGCUCAUGCACGAAAGCGUGGGGAGCAAACAG